GAUGUGUUUAGACAGCAGGACGGUGGCCACGGAAGUCGGCAUCCGCCAAGGAGUGUGUAACAACUCACCUGCCUAAGCAACCAGUCCUGAAAAUGGAUGGCGCUCCAGCGUCGCAGCCCAUACCCGGCCUUUAAGCCGAAUCAGAUAAGUUGUAAGGCUUAAAGAGUAGGAGGGUCGCGGCGGAGAGCGCAGAAGGUCGCGACGCGAGUCGGACUGGAGCCUCCGCCGGUGCAGAUCUUGGUGGUAGUAGCAAAUAUUCCAGUGAGAGCCUGGAAGACUGAAGCACGGAGAAAGGUUUCAUGUGAACAGCAGUUGAACACGAGUGAGUCGGUCCUGAGGCCAGAUGCUAACGCAUCGCAGACGGUUCUCAUUGAAAACGAGGGACGAGAACUUUAGGCCGAAAGGGAAAAGUGUUAAUAUUCCCUUACCGGGACACGGAGACUUUCGGCCCGAGGGUCGAUGGUGCGGUGACGCAAACGAACUCGGCGACGCCGUCGGAGGACCCGGAGAAGAGUUGCCUUUUCUUUGUAAGACGCGCGCGUCCCUCGAAUCUCGUCGCGAGGAGACAGGGACGCCGCCUGUCGAAAAAGCACGGUCGCUGCCGCCGUGUCCGGUGCGCCUCCGCCGGCCCUUGAAAACCGAGGGAGAGCUUGUGAUUUUCGUGCCCGGCCGUACCCAUAUCCGCAGCAGGUCUCCAAGGUGAACAGCCUCUAGUCUCUAGAACAAUGUAGGUAAGGGAAGUCGGCAAGUUCGAUCCCUAACCUCGGGAAAAGGAUUGGCUCUUGUGUCUCGGUCUUUCUGGACUCGCACUUUCCGAAGCUCCUAUCGUGGCGGGGACUGGUCCCAGUUUGGGGAUCGGACCCCGUACUCGAGGUGGGGUGUAGGGUGCGAGGUGCCCCGGUCCUCCGUAAGGACUGGGGCAGUGCCGGAGGACAGGAAAGAGACGGACAAGAACUGGCACGGACUCGGGGAAUCCGACUGUCUAAUUAAAACAAAGCAUUGAGACGGCCGGCGAUCGGUGUUGACUCAAUGUGAUUUCUGCCCAGUGCUCUGAAUGUCAAAGUGAAGAAAUUCAACGAAGCGCGGGUAAACGGCGGGAGUAACUAUGACUCUCUUAAGGUAGCCAAACGCCUCGUCAUCUAAUUAGUGACGCGCAUGAAUGGAUUAACGAGAUUCCCACUGUCCCUAUCUACUAUCUAGCGAAACCGCAGCCAAGGGAACGGACUUGGCAAAUUCACUGGGGAAAGAAGACCCUUUCGAGCUUGACUCUAGUCUGACUUUGUUCUAAGGCAUUAUUGGCGUAGUCUAGGUGGGAGUCCUGUUAUGGACGCAAUUGUGAAAUACCACUACUUUGAUCGCCUUGGGACUUAUUCGGUGAUGUCCCUAAUCGUCUCUUUUCUCGAGGGACGAACGUAUGUGCUUCAAGUCCUCGCCGUUCGAGUGUUGGACGAGGAACUCCGAAGACAGCGUCAGGCAGGCAGUUUGUCUGGGGCGGAACAUCUGUCAAAUGGCAACGCAGGUGUCCCAAGGCCGGCUCAGUCGGGACGGAAACCCGGCGUGGAGCAAAGGGGCAAAAGCCGGCUCGAUCCCGUUCUUCAGCAGGGAAGGGGACCUGGAAACAGGGGCCCAUCGAUCCUUUCUUUCUAUAUCCUUCGGGGUAGAAUGUGAGAGUCUCACGGGAGAGGUGUCGGAAAAGUUACCGGAGGGAUAACUGGCUCGUGGCGGCUGAGAGUUCAUAUCGACGUCGCUUAUUGAUUCUUCGAUGUCGGCUCUUCCUAUCAUUGCGAAGCAGAAUUCGCAAAGCGUUGGAUUGUUCACCCACUAACAGGGAACGUGAGCUGGGUUUAGACCGUCUGAGGA